rnacentral:rRNA from 1 species
UACAGAGGGGGCGAGCGUUGUUCGGAAUUACUGGGCGUAAAGGGCGCGUAGGCGGCCUCUUAAGUCGAACGUGAAAUCCCCGGGCUCAACCCGGGAACUGCGUCCGAUACUGGGAGGCUUGAAUCCGGGAGAGGGAUGUGGAAUUCCAGGUGUAGCGGUGAAAUGCGUAGAUAUCAGGAGGAACACCGAUGGCGAAGGCAGGUCACUGGGCCGCAACUGACGCUGAGGAGCGAAAGCAUGGGGAGCGAACAGG